ACCCCCUUACAUAAGAUUUUGUGCCACUACAGGACCUUGGUUGCAACUAUGUUCUAUCUGGUCUCAGAUUAUAUCAAUAACGUCUCCCCCCCAAUGCUAA